rnacentral:rRNA from 1 species
UACGUAGGGGGCAAGCGUUGUCCGGAAUCAUUGGGCGUAAAGAGCGUGUAGGCGGCCCGGUAAGUCCGCUGUGAAAGUCCAGGGCUCAACCCUGGGAUGCCGGUGGAUACUGUCGGGCUCGAGUCCGGAAGAGGAGUGUGGAAUUCCUGGUGUAGCGGUGAAAUGCGCAGAUAUCGGAAGGAACACCAGUGGCGAAGGCGGCUUCCUGGACUGAUACUGACACUGAGGCGCGAGAGCGUGGGGAGCGAACAGG